ensembl:lncRNA
AUGAGGGCACGGUUGUCUCCCCCGCACAUUCAGUUUUUCAAGUCAUGCCUUUGCCACUUCAAACCGCACAGUGAUGGUGAGUUUGUGCCUCAGACUUUUGGGUCUAAUGGCAGCAGCAUCCACUGUAAUCUGUCUAGGCUUACUUCACAUGUGCCCAUUUCAAUGGUGGACGAAAAGCCAAAGGAUUUCACCCUGUUGUUAUCCACAUCAAAUGAUUUGGGCGACACGGAGGUGUGUUCUGACGAUAAAGACCUGGACGUCGGCCGAAUUUCUUCAGAAAGGAGUUCGACUAGCGGUCUGUUUUUUCACGACAGACGCGUCAUUGACAGGUUGGGGGGCUGUUUGUCAAUGACCCCCAGCUCACAGAACUUGGAUGGAGGCACAGCGAGGGUGGCACAUAAAUGGAUUGGAGCUGUUAGCGGUCUUUCUAGCUCUCCAAUAUUUUUCAGGAUGGACAACACAAUGGUUGUGUCAUAUUUGAAUCACCAAGCAGGAUUACGCUCUCGUCCCCUAUGCAGGCUGGCGAGGAACAUCCUUCUAUGGUCUCAGAACAGAUUUCUGUCGAUCCAAGCGGUUCAUGUUCCCGAACACUUGAACUUCGGAGCGGAUUUGCUCUCGAGACAGAGCCUGGAGGAAGGGGAAUGGAGGUUGCACCCCCAGACGGUGAGCUAUAUAUGGCGAGCAUUUGGAGAGGUGGAAGUGGACUUAUUCGCGUCGAGCACGACUACGCAUUGCCCUCUAUGGUUCUUCCUAUCCGCCCCCAUCGCCCCUGGGACUGGACGCUCUAGCCCACGAAUGGCCCAGAUCCAGUUUGUAUGCCUUUCCUCCAAUUCGGCUAAUUCCAGCGGUGCUAUCCAGAAUAUGGUUGGACAGAGUGGAACAACUAUUGCUGUCGCAAGCACGGGGAAUGAUCUGGCACCCAGGCCAGAUUUAUGGAAACUGUGGGCGUGGCCUCUGAGCGGAGUGAGUUACUAUGUCCCGGUCUUUCAGCAGAGGCAACAGAGACUAAUUAAUUCUAGAGUGGUUUUUACGAGACGUUUAUAUGCCUUCAAAUGGAAACUGUUUACUACCUGGUGUAGACGUUGUUCCAGCUUACUACCCCAUUGCUUCAGUACUGGAGUUUCUUCAAAGCUGUUUUUCAGAGGGAGUAAAGCCAAGCAACUCUUUAAGUAUACGUGA